CCUUAAGAUAUGUCUGAAGUAUCUCCGACGUCAAACCCUCGCUCACUUUCAAGCCUUUUUUUGCUAAAAAGAAUUAUCAAAUACUACAUUUUGUAAUAAGCAUAAUUGCCUCUUAACAUUUACUACACAUUUUUUCCACAUUAACGAGAGCAUAACCAGGCCUUAACACCGAUAUUCACUAAACGGAAUCGUUUGCAUGUGUAUUCAUAGGGCAAAACAGAUGACACUUUCUUGUACGUUUACGGUAUGUUUACGAGAGCAUAACCAGGCCUUUGAUGUAGCUUUGAAAUAGGUUUACAUAUUUCCUUUAAAGAACUGUCAAAUGAACCUAUUUUAAGGCUUCAUUAAGUUUUGUGAAAAUGUGUUCACUUAAGGUCAACCAGAUUGACAUUUCAAUGCGAUCAACUCUUGAAGAUUUUAACCCAAUAAUUUUGAAAGGAGUAUCUAAAGGUUUAUGACGUUUGCUCUUUUUGGCGAGUGAAGAAAAAUAAAAGACGCAAGAAAUAUCAUCAUUCGACAUUUGGAGUUUUGUUUCGUGUCUCCUUGCUGCAUUUUUUUCAGAAAAGAAUUUCUCUGAGGAACCUAUAAACAAUUUGGAAACUAACAAUUUUAGCAUUGAGAUUUAUAUAUUUUUGUUGUUGUUGUUGUUGUAGUAAUUGUGUAUAAAUUGUUUUUUGGAAA